rnacentral:rRNA from 1 species
CCUACGGGCGGCUGCAGUGGGGAAUAUUGGACAAUGGGGGGAACCCUGAUCCAGCCAUGCCGCGUGUGUGAAGAAGGCCCUCGGGUUGUAAAGCACUUUCAGUGAGGAAGAACGCCUGGUGGUUAAUACCCAUCAGGAAAGACAUCACUCACAGAAGAAGCACCGGCUAACUCCGUGCCAGCAGCCGCGGUAAUACGGAGGGUGCGAGCGUUAAUCGGAAUUACUGGGCGUAAAGCGCGCGUAGGUGGCUUGAUAAGCCGGUUGUGAAAGCCCCGGGCUCAACCUGGGAACGGCAUCCGGAACUGUCAAGCUAGAGUGCAGGAGAGGAGGGUAGAAUUCCCGGUGUAGCGGUGAAAUGCGUAGAGAUCAGGAGGAAUACCAGUGGCGAAGGCGGCCUUCUGGACUGACACUGACACUGAGGUGCGAAAGCGUGGGUAGCAAACAGGAUUAGAUACCCCUGUAGUC